rnacentral:rRNA from 1 species
GACGAACCGUGCGAACGUUAUUCGGAAUCACUGGGCUUAAAGCGCGUGUAGGCGGGACGGCACGUCUGUCGCUGAAAUCCCCCGGCUCAACCGGGGAACGGGCGCGGAUACGACCGUCCUGGAGGGGCGUAGGGGGACCUGGAACUUCCGGUGGAGCGGUGAAAUGCGUUGAGAUCGGAAGGAACGCCCGUGGCCAAAGCGAGGUCCUGGACGCUUACUGACGCUGAGACGCGAAAGCCAGGGGAGCGAACGGG